AAUGGGGGAAACCCUGAUGCAGCCAUGCCGCGUGUGUGAAGAAGGCCUUCGGGUUGUAAAGCACUUUCAGUAGGGAGGAAGGUAGUGUAGUUAACACCUGCACUAUUUGACGUUACCUACAGAAGAAGCACCGGCUAACUCCGUGCCAGCAGCCGCGGUAAUACGGAGGGUGCGAGCGUUAAUCGGAAUUACUGGGCGUAAAGCGCAUGCAGGCGGCCUGUUAAGUCAGAUGUGAAAGCCCCGGGGCUUAACCUCGGAAUUGCAUUUGAAACUGGCAGGCUAGAGUCUUGUAGAGGGGGUAGAAUUUCAGGUGUAGCGGUGAAAUGCGUAGAGAUCUGAAGGAAUACCAGUGGCGAAGGCGGCCCCCUGGACAAAGACUGACGCUCAGAUGCGAAAGCGUGGGGAGCAAACAGGAUUAGAUACCCUGGUAG
rnacentral:rRNA from 1 species